AGCGAACGCUGGCGGCAGGCCUAACACAUGCAAGUCGAACGAACUCUUCGGAGUUAGUGGCGGACGGGUGAGUAACACGUGGGAACGUGCCUUUUGGUUCGGAAUAACUCAGGGAAACUUGUGCUAAUACCGAAUGUGCCCUUCGGGGGAAAGAUUUAUCGCCAUUAGAGCGGCCCGCGUCUGAUUAGCUAGUUGGUGAGGUAACGGCUCACCAAGGCGACGAUCAGUAGCUGGUCUGAGAGGAUGGCCAGCCACACUGGGACUGAGACACGGCCCAGACUCCUACGGGAGGCAGCAGUGGGGAAUCUUGCGCAAUGGGCGAAAGCCUGACGCAGCCAUGCCGCGUGAAUGAUGAAGGUCUUAGGAUUGUAAAAUUCUUUCACCGGGGACGAUAAUGACGGUACCCGGAGAAGAAGCCCCGGCUAACUUCGUG
rnacentral:rRNA from 1 species